rnacentral:lncRNA from 1 species
UACUUGUUUAUCCUUAAACAAGACUGUUGAAUAUUUUUGCCACAGUCAAUGAAAUGAAAAUGUGUUAUGAAAAUGACUAUAUCAGUAACCAAUCUGUUUUUACUUCUUACAGAAGAUGACUAAAGGACCUAACAUUAUGCCAUGUAAAAAGGAUGAAGAGAUAACUAGAUGGUUACUCUGGCAGUGUUAUAAAUGCACCAAAACAUGCCAAAAUGGAAUGAAAAUGAUAUCAGCACUUUGUAAAAU